rnacentral:rRNA from 1 species
GUCGGACGGGAUCCAUCGGAGAGCUUGCUCGAAGAUGGUGAGAGUGGCGCACCGUUGCGUAACGCGUGAGCAACCUACCUCUAUCAGGGGGAUAGCCUCUCGAAAGAGAGAUUAACACCGCAACUAACAUCAACAGUUCGCAUGUUCGGUUGAUUAAAUAUUUAUAGGAUAGAGAUGGGCUCGCGUGACAUUAGCUAGUUGGUAGGGUAACGGCUUACCAAGGCGACGAUGUCUAGGGGCUCUGAAAGGAGAAUCCCCCACACUGGUACUGAGACACGGACCAGACUCCUACGGGAGGCAGCAGUAAGGAAUAUUGGUCAAUGGGCGGAAGCCUGAACCAGCCAUGCCGCGUGCAGGAUGACUGCCCUAUGGGUUGUACAAACUGCUUUUGUCCAGGAAUAAACCUAAAUACGUGUAUUUAGCUGAAUGUACUGGAAGAAUAGGGAUCGGCUAACUCCGUGCCAGCAGCCGCGGUAAUACGGAGGAUCCGAGCGUUAUCCGGAUUUAUUGGGUUUAAAGGGUGCGUAGGCGGCCUAUUAAGUCAGGGGUGAAAUACGGUGGCUCAACCAUCGCAGUGCCUUUGAUACUGAUGGGCUUGAAUCCAUUUGAAGUGGGCGGAAUAAGACAAGUAGCGGUGAAAUGCAUAGAUAUGUCUUAGAACUCCGAUUGCGAAGGCAGCUCACUAAGCUGGUAUUGACGCUGAUGCACGAAAGCGUGGGGAUCGAACAGGAUUAGAUACCCUGGUAGUCCACGCCCUAAACGAUGAUAACUCGAUGUUGGCGAUAGACAGCCAGCGUCCCAGCCAAAGCGUUAAGUUAUCCACCCUGGGGAGUACGCCCGCCAGGGUGAAAA